UACGUAGGUGGCGAGCGUUAUCCGGAUUUACUGGGUGUAAAGGGCGUGUAGGCGGUACAACAAGUCAGAUGUGAAAUCUCCCGGCUCAACUGGGAGGCUGCAUCUGAAACUGUUGAACUUGAGUACUGGAGGGGAAAGCGGAAUUCCUAGUGUAGCGGUAAAAUGCGUAGAUAUUAGGAGGAACACCGGUGGCGAAGGCGGCUUUCUGGACAGUAACCGACGCUGAGGCGCGAAAGCGUGGGGAGCAAACAGGAUUAGAUACCCCGGUAGUCCCUGAGCGGG
rnacentral:rRNA from 1 species